rnacentral:rRNA from 1 species
CCUACGGGAGGCAGCAGUGAGGAAUAUUGGUCAAUGGACGAGAGUCUGAACCAGCCAAGUAGCGUGAAGGAUGACUGCCCUAUGGGUUGUAAACUUCUUUUAUAUGGGAAUAAAAUGUUCCACGUGUGGGAUUUUGUAUGUACCAUAUGAAUAAGGAUCGGCUAACUCCGUGCCAGCAGCCGCGGUAAUACGGAGGAUGCGAGCGUUAUCCGGAUUUAUUGGGUUUAAAGGGAGCGUAGGUGGAUUGUUAAGUCAGUUGUGAAAGUUUGCGGCUCAACCGUAAAAUUGCAGUUGAAACUGGCAGUCGUGAGUACAGUAGAGGUAGGCGGAAUUCGUGGUGUAGCGGUGAAAUGCUUAGAUAUCACGAAGAACUCCGAUUGCGAAGGCAGCUCACUGGACUGCAACUGACACUGAGGCUCGAAAGUGUGGGUAUCAAACAGGAUUAGAUACCCUAGUAGUC